rnacentral:rRNA from 1 species
AGGAUGAACGCUGGCGGCGUGCCUAACACAUGCAAGUCGAACGUCCUGUCUCGCAAGAGGCAGGGAGUGGCGGACGGGUGAGUACCACGUGGGUCAUCUACCGUGAGGUGAGGAAUACCGGCGAGAAAUCGCCGACAAGACCGCAUAGGCUCGAUGCAAGUCGAGCAAAGCUCUCUCGAGAGAGGGAGCGCCACACGAGGAGCCUGCGCCCGAUUAGCUAGCUGGUGGAGUAAUGGUUCACCAGGGCGACGAUCGGUAGCUGGUCUGAGAGGACGAUCAGCCACACUGGGAUUGAGAACGGCCCAGACUCCUACGGGGGGCAGCAGUGAGGAAUUUUCGUCAAUGGGGGCAACCCUGAACGAGCAACGCCGCGUGCAGGAAGAAGGUUUUCGGAUCGUAAACUGCUUUUCUCGGGGAAGAGAACGGACGGUACCCGAGGAAUCAGCCCCGGCUAACUACGCGCCAGCAGCCGCGGU